UGCGAGGCGUCCCGUUACCGCUCAUCAUUUUUCCUUAAGCAAUAUCUACGUGCUCUUGGUUGUCCACUAUUUAGAGAAUAUUGGAUAGUUAAAAAAAGUGACGAGAAUUUUGUACGAAAAUUCUCAGUAAAUCGGACAGUUU